UAUAAUGCUACAAGGAUUAUUGUAUGCUGUAUUUAUUUCCUUGGAUUAUUUUAUGCUGUUCCUGUUACCCAGUGGAGAUACUGUGGAUUAUACUACCUCUCCGCUACAAACUCCUGAUAUGUCAUUUCUUCACCCUUAUGUCCAAAUACGUGAAAGUGCAGUAUGAACAGGGGUGCUGUUGCUUUUUGUACCCCUAUCCUCC